rnacentral:rRNA from 1 species
CUACGGGGCGCUCCAGUAGGGAAUAUUGCGCAAUGGGCGAAAGCCUGACGCAGCAACGCCGCGUGGAUGAUGAAGCUCCUUGGAGUGUAAAAUCCUGUCAGAGGGGAAGAAACGUAAAGUGAGUAACUGCACUUUACCUGACGGUACCCUCAGAGGAAGUCCCGGCUAACUCCGUGCCAGCAGCCGCGGUAAUACGGGGGGGACAAGCGUUGUUCGGAUUCACUGGGCGUAAAGGGCGCGUAGGCGGGCCUUCAAGUCGGGUGUGAAAACUCCGGGCUUAACCCGGAGCCUGCAUUCGAUACUGGUGGUCUUGAGUACAGGAGAGGAAAGUGGAAUUCCAGGUGUAGCGGUGAAAUGCGUAGAUAUCUGGAAGAACACCGGUGGCGAAGGCGGCUUUCUGGACUGAUACUGACGCUAAAGCGCGAAGGCUUGGGGAGCAAACAGGAUUAGAUACCCCCGUAGUC